UGUACUAGGAUGUCUUGAAAUCUACUCGAGCCCAGGUAGAGAGAGAACUUCUAAUGGAUGACGUCUUACGGAUUGAAGACAUGCCUUCUUACAGCCUUCUCGUUUAGCAAUAACCCAUUACAGUUUCAGGCCAGGCUGGUUCAGGCCACUGGUGUAUUUGUUUAACAUUGAAGUUUUGCCUGAGGUGGGUGGGCAUGCAUAGAGUUGUGAUACUGAUGAGUAAUUUUGUAUAUUUACAUUUUUUGAAGCCCCAUUUACGAAGUUCGAAGGGGCAGAACUAUCAACAGAAGAAAGAUGUAAAUGAAAAUUUGAACACUGUUCUCCUUUUACUUAUACGAAUUAGCCAUCCAAAUUGACUCUUUUUUCCA